GGGUCAGCUUUAGCUCAGCGGCUACUUCGUCAUUUCAUUUCAUGAUUCAGAUCAUCUAACCUUUUGGGGUUCGAGGCCUGCGGGCGCUUUCUGACCCUUUU
rnacentral:vault_RNA from 15 species